UACGUAGGGUGCAAGCGUUAAUCGGAAUUACUGGGCGUAAAGCGUGCGCAGGCGGUGAUGUAAGACAGAUGUGAAAUCCCCGGGCUCAACCUGGGAACUGCAUUUGUGACUGCAUCGCUGGAGUGCGGCAGAGGGGGAUGGAAUUCCGCGUGUAGCAGUGAAAUGCGUAGAUAUGCGGAGGAACACCGAUGGCGAAGGCAAUACCCUGGGCCUGCACUGACGCUCAUGCCCGCAAGCGUGGGGAGCAAACAGG
rnacentral:rRNA from 1 species